rnacentral:rRNA from 1 species
UGCGGUACGGUCGCAGAGAUUGCGCGGAGACUGACGCAACGAACCUAGAGACACCGUUGCUGCCUGGCUGUCGUCAGCUCGUGUCGUGAGAUGUUGGGUUAAGUCCCGCAACGAGCGCAACCCUUGUCCUUAGUUGCCAGCAUUUAGUUGGGCACUCUAAGGAGACCGCCGGUGACAAACCGGAGGAAGGUGGGGAUGACGUCAAGUCAUCAUGGCCUUUAUGGCCAGGGCUACACACGUGCUACAAUGGUGGAUACAGAGGGAAGCCAACGCGCGAGCGGGAGCCAAUCCCAGAAAAUCCAUCGUAGUCCGGAUUGGAGUCUGCAACUCGACUCCAUGAAGUCGGAAUCGCUAGUAAUCGCAGAUCAGCAUUGCUGCGGUGAAUACAUUCCCGGGUCUUG